CAACGUCGCGAAAUAUUACUCCGGGUUUAUUGGUAAAUCGUGUGUUUUUUUUAUUGCUUUUAAAUAUUUUAUUGUGUUUAUUGGUUGAAAAUGUCAUCGGGGUUUCAAAGUUUUUUAUAAUCUCCGCAAACCUUUUGUUUGAUAGAAGUGGAAUUCGAUACAACACGGGUUUCUAAAUCGGUCGCCAGUUUGGUUAACUCUUGGUGUUUUGUGAAGUGAAUUAAGUACUUUUCUGUUGACGACAAUUGUGUAUAUACGACCACUAACAUUUUGGCAAUAACUCCAAGUCGCUUCACUUUUUGUGUUUCCAUGUCCAUUACAUGGUGCUUGGUGCAAUGUUCGUUUUUCAGAGUUGAAAAUACAUUUUUCGAGACUAUUUGUGUGAAACACUACAAAAAUCUCAAGGAUAACAUAAUAUUUUUGUUAAAAUUGUUUAAUAAGUUAUGGGCAAAGUCGUACUGAAUUAAAUCAGACAUAAUUUAUGAAUCUUCGUUAACAUUUGCAACAGUGAUUAUCGCGAUAUGUUUUAUAGUGAUUGUGAUCGUGAGUUUAUUCGAUUGGUUCGUUGGCAAGUAUAACCACAUUGGACUUAGAAUCCUUAAAUUUGUUAAAUUGAAAAUCAAAUCGAUUUGGCCUUGGUUUAAUUAUUGUUUACCCUG